ACGUUUGGUCACACAGGAUCUAAUUAUAUAUUGCAUAUAUUCAUUUUAAGAAAUAAACAAUAUGGGAAGAUGUCAACAUUGUGUAGAUAUUGUAAUAUUAGCAUGUGGGAGAUAUGAAAAAGAAAGAAGAUAGAUGAUAGAAGACCUUGGAAAGAUUCAAGAAAAAAAAUAAUGUAAUAAUUAUAUUGCUGAAAGAUUAAGACAGUAAAAUUAUCAUAAUAUGAUUACAUUUUUUUAAAAGCAACAAAGGUGGGUAAUGAAAUUUGAGGAUAGCAAGAAAUUAAAUAGAAUUAAUUGAUAAUCAUUCUGUACCCCACUCCAUGUCGGUAGAUGGCGGUAGUGCUCAGAUGGUGUUUUUUUGCAAACCGCCAAAAAAAAAACUCCACGAAGAAGAACACCACCUUCGUCUUGUGUGCCUGCCUAAUGUAAGCUAGAAGAAACGUCUGGACCAGACCAUAUUUUACUUGCGGUGUAAAAGGGAAUAGAGGUAACUCCCCAUAUAUAUAUAAAAGCGAGAUGGAGACUCGUUUUGGCAAAAAGACACGCGAUGGGGGGGUACAGGACGCUGUCGAAGACGUGCAAGAGGUCGUGGAGGAGGCUUUCGUGGACAAGCCACAAGAUUUAGAACUCGUCUCCGUUGGUCAAAAGCCUAAGAAGCAAAUGAAAUAUUCCCCAAGGAAACUGUGGUCACCAACGGGGGCAGUGGAGUUGACCAAACUGAAACAUCAAGCAAAGAUGGAUAGACAGAAGAUUGAUCAUCUUGAGGACCGCAUUAAAUACCUGGAGGAGGCCAACAGGGAGCUGAAAAAGGACAAAAACUUCCUUCUGUCACAAAUUAAGGAAGCCACUGUGGCACCUGCAUCUAGCAGCAAGUCAGGUACAACGGUCAUAAAAUCAAUAGCAAAAUAGUAUGGAUUUUGAAGUGUAGAGUGACAUGGUUAUGCUCACUGUGAGGCGUUGUACAUAGUGCAC